rnacentral:tRNA from 1 species
AGGAGUGGCCAAGUGGUAAGGCAACGGGUUUUGGUCCCGCUAUUCAAAGGUUCGAAUCCUUCCAUCCCA